rnacentral:rRNA from 1 species
CGGCAGCCCGAGUGGUGAUCACUAUUAUUGGGUCUAAAGGGUCCGUAGCCGGUUUGAUCAGUCUUUUGGGAAAUCUGACAGCUUAACUGUUAGGCUUCCAAAGGAUACUGUCAGACUUGGGACCGGGAGAGGUAAGAGGUACUACAGGGGUAGGAGUGAAAUCUUGUAAUCCCUGUGGGACCACCAGUGGCGAAGGCGUCUUACCAGAACGGGUCCGACGGUGAGGGACGAAAGCUGGGGGCACGAACCGGAUUAGAUACCCCAGUAGUCC